rnacentral:rRNA from 1 species
AUUGAACGCUGGCGGCAGGCCUAACACAUGCAAUUCGAACGAGUGGCGGACGGGUGAGUAAUGUCUGGGAAACUGCCAGAUGGAGGGGGAUAACUACUGGAAACGGUAGCUAAUACCGCAUACCAUCAGAUGUGCCCCGAUGGGAUUAGCUUGUUGGUGGGGUAACGGCUCACCAAGGCGACGAACCCUCGCUGGUCUGAGAGGAUGACCAGCCAGACUGGAACUGAGUAGCGGUCCAGACACCGAAGGGAGGCAGCAGUGGGGAAUAUUGCACAAUGGGCGCAAGCCUGAUGCAGAAUGCCGCGUGUAUGAAGAAGGCCUUCGGGUUGUAAAGUACUUUCAGCGGGGAGGCGGUACCCGCAGAAGAAGCACCGGCUAACUCAGUGCCAGCAGCCGCGGUAAUAC